rnacentral:rRNA from 1 species
GACGAACGCUGGCGGCGCGCCUAACACAUGCAAGUCGAACGAGAGAGAGGGAGCUUGCUUCCUCAAUCGAGUGGCGAACGGGUGAGUAACGCGUGAGGAACCUGCCUCAAAGAGGGGGACAACAGUUGGAAACGACUGCUAAUACCGCAUAAGCCCACAGGUCGGCAUCGACCAGAGGGAAAAGGAGCAAUCCGCUUUGAGAUGGCCUCGCGUCCGAUUAGCUAGUUGGUGAGGUAAUGGCCCACCAAGGCAACGAUCGGUAGCCGGACUGAGAGGUUGAACGGCCACAUUGGGACUGAGACACGGCCCAGACUCCUACGGGAGGCAGCAGUGGGGAAUAUUGCACAAUGGGGGAAACCCUGAUGCAGCGACGCCGCGUGGAGGAAGAAGGUCUUCGGAUUGUAAACUCCUGUUGUUGAGGAAGAUAAUGACGGUACUCAACAAGGAAGUGACGG